AUAACUGUAUAAACUGAUAAGGGUGUGUAUAUAUAAAUGUUUGUAUGCACUAUCAAUGCGUAAUGGUACAUGUGUAUAUGCAUAUCAGUGUAUAUAUAACUGAUUGCAAGUUUAUACAUACAUGCAUAAACACUUCAGUAUAUACAUGUCGUAUAUAUACACACUGUAUAUAUAUACAAACUGAUAAUAAGGGUCUAUAUGGUCAUAUAUAUCAGUCUAUAUUAUAAACAUAAACAGUAUAUAUGCACUUAUCAACACGUACGAGUGCAUUUGAGUGGGAAUAUCAUGUGUAUACAAACAUUGAUAAUUGUAUAUAACUGCUAGCAAUCAACUAUAUAAAAUGAAGCUUGCAAGAUCAAGAUCUCAAAUAUGAAUAACAUAAAGAGAUCUGCCUCGAUGAAAAGCUGCUUUCAUUGUUGUUGAUUUACAAGCAAAUUCGAUGAAGAUGAAACUCAUCAACAAUAAGAAAAACAAGUAUAAAUAAGAAAAAAAAAUUAGAUAUUCUAUCAUAAUUGGGUAUUUAGCGUACCCAAUUCAUCAAGAGAAGAAGCCCGAUCUUAUGCCUAAUUCUAUGCAAAGAAAUACGAAAUUUUGCCUCGGCUUAUUUGAUUGGAGGUGAUAGCCACAGUGUGUGUAUGUGGGAGUGUGCGUAUGUGUGAGUGUGAGUGUGAAUGUGAGUGUGAGUGUGAGUGUGAAUGUGAGUAUGUGGGUAUGUAGUACACAAAUCAGUGUACAUAUACUAUAGAAACUAAUAAUAAAAUGAAGCUUGCAAGAUCAAGAUCUCAAAUACGAAUAACAUAAAGAGACCUGCGUCGAUGAUAAGCUGCUUUCAUUCUUGUUGAUUUACAAGCAAACUUGAUGAAGAUGAAACUCAUCAACAAUAAGAAAAACUAGUAUAAAUAAGAGAAAAAAAUUAGAUGGUCUAUCAUAAUUGGGUAUUUAGCGUACCCAAUUCAUCAAGAGAAGAAGCCCAUUCUUAUGCUUAAUUCUAUGCAAAGAAAUAUGAAAAUUUGCCUCGUCUUAUUACUAUAUAAACUAAUAAUAAGUGUAUAUACUAUAUAAACU
rnacentral:lncRNA from 1 species